CAUGGACACCAUGGGUGCAAAAGUGGCGGGGCAAAGAACUGUAAGCAGAGACAAAAUGAAAGCCCUCUAGGCCCACAAUUGAUUCUAACGGCUGUGAGGGAAUGAGCUUCAACUACUGUUGAUGGGAGGGACUGUGUGCCAGGCACUGUGCUAGGGACUCUCAUGCAUGAUCUCAUUCAUCUUCUGCAUAACCCAAUGAGGUAUGAUCUACUAUCAAGUGUCUACAUUUGUAUUGGAUUGACUUAACAUCUCUGGAAAGCCAGAAAUCAGAGAUACAGAGAAGUAUUGAAAUGCUGAAAUGCUAUGAAUUUACUAUAAGAGAACAUUCUUCACUGAAGAGAUCUCUAGCUGCCAAAACACCCUUUCAUGCGUGAAAUACCGGGGCAAAGAGGAAGGAAAAGAGAAGAGUAUGACUCUAGGAACCAUGUUGCAGAAAUGCCAAAGGGUGGGACAAACAAAGUUACUAAUGUGGAGAAAGAAGAUUAUCAUGUGUGGAACGAAGGACAAUAUGAACAUUAAAUAAUGCCCUGACUCAUUCCAAAAAGAAUCUGAGAUGACCAAUAAAGCCAUUUUUAAUUGUUUAUUAGUGAACAAUAGAUUAUGAGUGCUAAAGGGAUUCAGGAAGAAGAAAGAUCAGUGCAGAGUAGAGAAGUCUGAUGGAUGCAUUGAAGAAGCUAUGCUUGAGCUGAAAUGACAAGAGAGCUGUUUUUCGCUUUCAGAAUUAUUAUGUGGCAAUGGUAAUUGACAACAGAGAAGCUGAAGGUAUGAGGACA
rnacentral:lncRNA from 1 species